GUAUUGAUGAACUGAUGGCAUUAUUGGGUCUGGAAAGCGCGCUGCGCGAUCGCUAUCCGCAUCAGCUUUCCGGCGGGCAACAGCAGCGGGUCGGCGUUGCGCGGGCGCUGGCUGCCGAUCCGCAGGUAUUGCUGAUGGACGAGCCUUUCGGCGCGCUUGAUCCGGUAACGCGCGGCGCAUUGCAGCAGGAGAUGACCCGCAUUCAUCAGCUGCUGGGGCGCACCAUCGUACUGGUGACGCACGACAUCGAUGAGGCGCUACGCCUCGCCGACCAUCUGGUGCUGAUGGACGGGGGCCACGUUAUCCAACAGGGAUCGCCGCUUUCUAUGCUGACCUCGCCGGAAAAUGAUUUCGUGCAGGCGUUUUUUGGCCGCAGCGAGCUGGGCGUAAGGC
rnacentral:misc_RNA from 1 species